UUUUUAAAGAGUCAGAACAAGUUCAAGUAGAGUAAUUAAACAUCAGAAGUUACUUACAGUUCACAAGCUAAGUGCGCUGCCAUAUAAGGACGGCAUAACUCUUCUGUCGCCUUUAGAUUAUGUUUAUAUUUGGACCAUUCCAAAAAUGACUCUCCUAAACUAAUAAGCCGUUCAUUAUAUUCUGUACUUUCAGUGGGAAUUAUUCUGCGUAAAGACUCUAUAAUCUGUUGUCG